AGAUGAUAUGAACUGGAAUGCGUUGGAGUGGGACCGGGCGGCGGAGGAGCUCACCUGGGAGAGGAUGCUUGGCCUGGAUGGCUCACUGGUGUUUCUGGAGCAUGUUUUUUGGGUGGUUUCUCUGAACACACUCUUCAUCCUGGUCUUCGCGUUUUGUCCUUACCACAUCGGGCACUUUUCUGUCGUGGGUCUCGGCUUCGAGGAACAUGUAAGAAACUGCUCUCA